CUACCCUGCUUCCAGGAAAAGCCACUAAGCUUCAGUCUAGAAUUGACCGUACCGCAAACCGACACAGGUGGGCAGGUAGAAGAUACUAAGGCGCUUGAGAGAACUCAGGAGAAGGAACUCGGCAAAUUGAUACCGUAACUUCGGGAGAAGGUAUGCCCCUGUAGCUUGUAGGAGAACAUCCGAAGGGCGACGGGGCCGCAGAGAAUCGGUGGCUGCGACUGUUUAUUAAAAACACAGCACUCUGCAAACACGAAAGUGGACGUAUAGGGUGUGACGCCUGCCCGGUGCCGGAAGGUUAAGUGAUGGGGUGCAAGCUCUUGAUCGAAGCCCCGGUAAACGGCGGCCGUAACAAUAACGGUCCUAAGGUAGCGAAAUUCCUUGUCGGGUAAGUUCCGACCUGCACGAAUGGCGUAACGAUGGCCACACUGUCUCCUCCUGAGACUCAGCGAAGUUGAAGUGUUUGUGAAGAUGCAAUCUCCCCGCGGCUAGACGGAAAGACCCCAUGAACCUUUACUGUAGCUUUGCAUUGGACUUUGACGGGACUUGUGUAGGAUAGGUGGGAGGCGCUGAGACCAGGACGCUAGUUCUGGUGGAGCCGUCCUUGAAAUACCACCCUGGUGUCGUUGAGGUUCUAACCUAGGUCCAUCAUCUGGAUCGGGGACCGUGCAUGGUAGGCAGUUUGACUGGGGCGGUCUCCUCCCAAAAGGUAACGGAGGAGUACGAAGGUCUUCUAGGUACGGUCGGACAUCGUACUGAUAGUGCAAUGGCAAAAGAAGGCUUGACUGCGAGACCGACAAGUCGAGCAGGUGCGAAAGCAGGUCAUAGUGAUCCGGUGGUUCUGUAUGGAAGGGCCAUCGCUCAACGGAUAAAAGGUACUCUGGGGAUAACAGGCUGAUUCCGCUCAAGAGUUCACAUCGACGGCGGAGUUUGGCACCUCGAUGUCGGCUCAUCACAUCCUGGGGCUGUAGCCGGUCCCAAGGGUAUGGCUGUUCGCCAUUUAAAGUGGUACGUGAGCUGGGUUUAAAACGUCGUGAGACAGUUUGGUCCCUAUCUGCCGUGGGCGCUGGAUAUUUGAGGGGGCCUGCUCCUAGUACGAGAGGACCGGAGUGGACGGAUCUCUGGUGUACCGGUUGUGACGCCAGUCGCAUCGCCGGGUAGCUAAAUCCGGAAGAGAUAACCGCUGAAAGCAUCUAAGCGGGAAACUCGCCUCGAGAUGAGAUAUCCCUGGGAACUUGAUUCCCCUGAAGGGUCGUCGAAGACCACGACGUUGAUAGGUCGGGUGUGGAAGUG
rnacentral:rRNA from 1 species